rnacentral:lncRNA from 13 species
ACCCACUUUAUUUUCUGUCACAGCACUAUUUAUAUUAUCUUACUUGUACUUCUCACAGUCCGUGAUUGUUUAUUUGUUAUUAUGUUUUGUUUGUCUGUCCCACUAGAACCUAAUUUCCACAAGAUCAGGAAGCUGCCUGUCCUCUUUAUUGUUAAAUCUUCAGCAUUAGCACUCACAGGUGAAAGAGUUUUCAAAAUGCAGAGAGCUGGUUUCUUCACUCACUAAGCAUCAGAUUUUCAGCAUCUUGGACAUCUUACAUGACAGCCUUUAAUACAGGUAAUUAUUAUUGUUCACAUAAGCUCUGCAUCCCCGGCUGAGGUCUCUCUUAGGAGCCUCAGGUGUCAUAUCCAACAGAAUGCUAGACACCUCCACCUAGAUGUUUUCAUCUCAACCUGGCAGGUCCAAAACUGAGUGUGGAUCCUCCAGCCCAAUCCCGCCCACCUAU